rnacentral:ncRNA from 2 species
CGCUUCCGAGGAGCGUUGCGACGGUCGCGCAUCAUAUCGGCCGCCAGGCUCGGAGCAUUCACUAUCCGGACGGUUCGAAGGCAUGUCGAAUGCCCGUUGAGCCACCGCAUUCGAACGGCGCUCACGUCAA